rnacentral:misc_RNA from 1 species
GAUGAAGAACGCAGCGAAAUGCGAUACGUAAUGUGAAUUGCAGAAUUCAGUGAAUCAUCGAGUCUUUGAACGCACAUUGCGCCCCCUGGUAUUCCGGGGGGCAUGCCUGUCCGAGCGUCAUUGCUGCCCUCAAGCACGGCUUGUGUGUUGGGCCUCCGUCCUCCUCCCGGGGGACGGGCCCGAAAGGCAGCGGCGGCACCGCGUCCGGUCCUCGAGCGUAUGGGGCUUCGUCACCCGCUCUUGUAGGCCCGGCCGGCGCUUGCCGACACAUCAAUCUUUUUUCCAGGUUGAACUCGGAUCAGGUAGGGAUACCCGCUGAACUUAAGCAUAUCAAUAAGCGGAGGA